UACGUAGGGGGCAAGCGUUGUCCGGAUUCAUUGGGCGUAAAGAGCGUGUAGGCGGCCAGGUAGGUCGGUUGUGAAAACUGGAGGCUCAACCUUCAGAGGUCGACCGAAACCAUCUGGCUAGAGUCCGGGAGAGGAGAGUGGAAUUCCUGGUGUAGCGGUGGAAAUGCGCAGAUAUCAGGAAGAACACCCGUGGCGAAAGCGGCUCUCUGGAACGGUACUGACGCUGAGACGCGAAAGCGUAGGGAGCGAACAGG
rnacentral:rRNA from 1 species